rnacentral:misc_RNA from 1 species
GGCGAGGUUGAGCGAGACGACGCGGCCGGCGCGGCAGCCCACGCCCGCCCACGCCGUGCACGGGUCCGCACGCCGCGGCCAGUCCCGCGCCCUCAGGCCGAGCGAGCCCCGCAGCGCGUACAGCCCAGCGAGAUCCGACCGCGACGUCAGGUUCCCCUGCGCCAGCACCGCCCAGGGCGCCGCCGCCAGGGCGACGAGCAGCAGCGCCCAGAGCCCGCGCGCUCGAUCGCGCAUCAUCGCCUCGAGCGCCUCCUCCUGCCGCCGCCGCCGCCGCCGCCGUGGCCCAUGUCCACUCCGCGUUACAGGUGUCGAUGGGGUUGGCGAGGAGGCCGAAGCGCUGGAAU